UACGAAGGUGGCAAGCGUUGUUCGGAUUUAUUGGGCGUAAAGAGCUCGUAGGCGGCUUGUCGCGUCGUCCGUGAAAACCCACAGCUCAACUGUGGGCUUGCGGUCGAUACGGGCAGGCUAGAGUUCGGUAGGGGAGACUGGAAUUCCUGGUGUAGCGGUGAAAUGCGUAGAUAUCGGAAGGAACACCAGUGGCGAAAGCGGCUUCCUGGUCCAGCACCGACGUUCAGGCACGAAAGCGUGGGGAGCAAACAGG
rnacentral:rRNA from 1 species